AAUGGGUAUUAUUAUAACCAGUUUUUGGUUUCCUAAAAGAGCUCAUUUGAGCCAAACUUUGGUCUGUAUCUAUCACUCUUAUGUAGGGCAAGAAAAGACAACACAUGAUGAUAUGGGUAUACCUGGCUUUGCAUCCAACUGAAGAACAAUAUUUUCUUUCUUAUUAAUGAUCUAAUCCUCCACACAGUAGUCACUCACUAGCUAAUUCACCAUUCCUUUCUCACUCUGAAGGUAUACCUGGCCAAGGAGCUUCUAGUUUUCUAUUUUCUGCAUGAAAUUAUCAGUA
rnacentral:misc_RNA from 1 species